rnacentral:rRNA from 1 species
UACGAAGGGGGCUAGCGUUGCUCGGAAUCACUGGGCGUAAAGGGUGCGUAGGCGGGUCUUUAAGUCAGGGGUGAAAUCCUGGAGCUCAACUCCAGAACUGCCUUUGAUACUGAAGAUCUUGAGUUCGGGAGAGGUGAGUGGAACUGCGAGUGUAGAGGUGAAAUUCGUAGAUAUCGGGAGGAACACCGGUGGCGAAGGCGGCGACCUGGGUGGAUACUGACGCUGAGGUGCGAAAGCGUGGGGAGCAAACAGG